UACGAAGGGGGCUAGCGUUGCUCGGAAUCACUGGGCGUAAAGGGCGCGUAGGCGGCGUUUUAAGUCGGGGGUGAAAGCCUGUGGCUCAACCACAGAAUGGCCUUCGAUACUGGGACGCUUGAGUAUGGUAGAGGUUGGUGGAACUGCGAGUGUAGAGGUGAAAUUCGUAGAUAUUCGCAAGAACACCAGUGGCGAAGGCGGCUCACUGGCCCGAUACUGACGCUGAGGCACGAAAGCGUGGGGAGCAA
rnacentral:rRNA from 1 species